UUUAUCUCUUGAACAUAGAUAUUAUAAAAAAAAAAAAUACUAGAAUCGUAUUAUAUUAAAAAACUGAAUUAAAAAUUAAGCAUAUAAGCUUGAGUUUGACUAAUCAAAUAAACAAAUAUCAAUUUAUCCUUAAUCGAUCAAGAAUUGAAUUUGUAAUUGCUGCAAGUUAUUAUUUUAAUUGUAAAUAUGCAACUGAGACAAUAACUAUGCAAGUUGAGAAAAAAUUUUCAAUUAAUGUCGAUCGCUUCCAUCGCUGUCAAGCUAAUCAAUUUUUGUUUCUUUCUUUUCUUUGAAGUAAACAUCUUGAAAAAGAAACGCUAACCAAGUGACCAUUUAUGUAGAACAUAUUGGCGCCCACAGCUCCAUUAACUGCUUUCCAUAAAAGCUUUGAUCUGCAGUCAGGAUUUUCAAAGCAAGUUGAUCAUGAAAGUCACCUGCUUGCACAAGUGGGCGUUUUGCAGCUCCAUGCAGGGCAGGUUCGUUUCUUGUGUUGAUUUGAAAGUGGAAAAACUUCUCUUUUUCUCUCACAUGCUCCAAUCUCCGUAGUCAGCAAUUCAAACCACAUGAAUUUUGAAUAGAUUAGUCCCCAGAGUCAAAGUCAAGAUUACAAGUUUUAUCUAUAAAGGUCAUAACUCCAGUACUCCAUUUUCAAUUCAACAGAUAGAGUAAAGGAUUUUUCAUUUUUUUAUAUUAUACUUGAUGAAUAUUUUAAUAUAUUUUUAUUUUUAUUUAAUGAAUAUGGAUAAUCAUUAUAUCUAUAAUUAAAAAAUUAAAAUUUAUUUUUAAAGUUUUCUUUUUUAUAUUUAGAUAAUUAUGUUAUAAAUAUAUAUUAAUAUAUAUUUUUUAAUAAAAAUAUAUUAGUUUUAAUUAAUUUAAAAUAAUAAUUUAUAUUAUUUAAUAAAAAAUUAUUUAUUAAAUAUAUAUAAAUAUUUAUAAGAUGUAGGUACGAAAUAAAUAUUAUAUUUUUAUUUUUAUUUUUAUAUUCAAUAAAAAUUUAAAAUUAUAUCUAUUUUUAUUUUUAUACCUAUAAUAUAAUUUUUGUUUUUAUUUUCAUUUAAAUAAAAAAUUAAAUUUUUUAUUAAGUAUGUAUAAAAUUGAUAUCUUUAAUUAGCUAUGUCAUAUAAUUUUGGCUCUCUUACAUAUUCCGCAACAGCACUUAACUGAUAAAUCAACAAAUUAAUUCCAUUGUGGGCCUUAUUUUUAGAUUUAACAAAGGGAAAUUAAAGCUUUGCUAAGGGAAAAAAGAGACCAUAAAGUUGAAUUAAUUUUUAGACUAUUUUGUUUAACUUAAUCCACGAUUCUGACAACAGUAUGAACGAAUGUCAAUAACUGAGAGAGCAGGGCACCCACACAUUCCACUUCUUGUCGGCAUGGUAGACAGGACAAAUGGGUAUUGUCGUUUGAGCAAAUAGAUUUCUAAUUUGCAUGGUAGACAGAACAAGUGGGUUAAGAAUUGACAUAUAAUAAAUAAAAAAUUCAAAUCCGAACAAAUAUAAUUUUUUUU
rnacentral:lncRNA from 1 species